rnacentral:rRNA from 1 species
CGAACGGGUGAGUAAUACAUCGGAACGUGUCCGCUCGUGGGGGACAACCAGCCGAAAGGUUAGCUAAUACCGCAUGAGUUCUACGGAAGAAAGAGGGGGACCCGCAAGGGCCUCUCGCGAGCGGAGCGGCCGAUGACUGAUUAGCCUGUUGGUGAGGUAACGGCUCACCAAAGCAACGAUCAGUAGCUGGUCUGAGAGGACGACCAGCCACACUGGGACUGAGACACGGCCCAGACUCCUACGGGAGGCAGCAG